GAUGAACGCUGGCGGCGUGCCUAAUACAUGCAAGUCGAGCGAACAGACGAGGAGCUUGCUCCUCUGACGUUAGCGGCGGAUGGGUGAGUAACACGUGGAUAACCUACCUAUAAGACUGGGAUAACUUCGGGAAACCGGAGCUAGUACCGGAUAACAUGUUGAACCGCAUGGUUCAUCAGUGAAAGACGGUCUUGCUGUCACUUAUAGAUGGAUCCGCGCCGCAUUAGCUAGUUGGUAAGGUAACGGCUUACCAAGGCAACGAUGCGUAGCCGACCUGAGAGGGUGAUCGGCCACACUGGAACUGAGACACGGUCCAGACUCCUACGGGAGGCAGCAGUAGGGAAUCUUCCGCAAUGGGCGAAAGCCUGACGGAGCAACGCCGCGUGAGUGAAGAAGGUCUUCGGAUCGUAAAACUCUGUUAUUAGGGAAGAACAAAUGUGUAAGUAACUAUGCACGUCUUGACGGUACCUAAUCAGAAAGCCACGGCUAACUACGUG
rnacentral:rRNA from 1 species